rnacentral:rRNA from 1 species
CCUACGGGAGGCAGCAGUGAGGAAUAUUGGUCAAUGGACGAGAGUCUGAACCAGCGAAGUAGCGUGAAGGAUGACUGCCCUAUGGGUUGUAAACUUCUUUUAUAUGGGAAUAAAAUGUUCCACGUGUGGGAUUUUGUAUGUACCAUAUGAAUACGGAUCGGCUAACUCCGUGCCAGCAGCCGCGGUAAUACGGAGGAUCCGAGCGUUAUCCGGAUUUAUUGGGUUUAAAGGGCGCGUAGGUGGUUUGUUAAGUCAGUUGUGAAAGUUUGCGGCUCAACCGUAAAAUUGCAGUUGAGACUGGCAGUCUAGAGUAAAGUAGAGGUGAGCGGAAUUCGUGGUGUAGCGGUGAAAUGCUUAGAUAUCGCGAAGAACACCGAUGGCGAAGGCAGCUCACUGGACUGCAACUGACACUGAGGCACGAAAGUGUGGGUAUCAAACAGGAUUAGAUACCCUUGUAGUC